GCCCGCCCCGGUGACUCCCCGCCGCGCGGGGUUCCGCUGACGCCGGCCACCGCCGCUCCCCGCUCGUCCCCUCCUUUCGGGCUCCUUCCGCGAGGACGCGGCCUGCCUCUCUCCACCAGGGUAUCAGCCAGGGCCAGAAGACAGCAAGAUCAAAAUGGAAGCCAAUACAGCAAACAGAAGAAGAAUUCAGGAGCAUCUCUCCAGAAAUAAGAGACUUCUCAAAUUACAUUUAAAUGCGUCUGUCAUUAGGAAAGCCACAUAUAUACCAAAAAACUAAUGCAACGCAAUAAAACAGUGACUAAGCCAAACAAUAGAAACUACUGAAAUUUCACUGCAUGCUACAGAAUAACCACGCUCAGCUUUAGAACUACAGGAGGAACUGGCUGGUGGCUAAUGGAAGCAGGGCAGCCGGUUACGUGCUAUAAAAACACAAUUGCUGUGGUGAACGUGGAAAAAAGCAUUUGGAUGUUUCAAUAAAAUCCCCAAAUCCUGCAUUAAAACACACAUUGCUCCCUGACACCCUGAAAUAUUCAUGCUUAAGCAAACGGAAGACCUGUGAGGUGGAGAAUUAGAGCUGGCCAGAGGAUAUGGUACAAACAAGGUGAUUAAUGUUAUUUUAAAUUUUUGAAGAGCCAGUGAGGGAGAAAGGGGUGUGUGGAAGAGACUGUGGAACUAGGGAUCUAUUACAUAGUUGUUAGUUUUUAAAAUAAAAUUCUAUUCAAAUUCUAUGUUAAGAUUCAAUUAGUGGGGUGGAAAGAGGUCACAGUAAUAUGCCUGCAACAUUCCCUCAUUCUUCAAAAUAAUUCCUACACAUUUAUUUAACUUACCAGAAACAUAGCAGCUCUAGGUUAUUAAAAAAAAUUACAGGUGAAGACUGGUAACACCUACUAACUGAAUUAUCACCUUUUUAUCAGUUACAAAUAUUAAAAAACUUAAAAUCUGUUUCAAAUGGGAGGGAACCCUGGGUUCCCUAAAACUCAAUAGAGAAGCACAGGCUUAAAAACAAUAGUCACAUAAAAACCUUCCACGUACUUGUUAUUUUGUACAUCUGUCUCGAACAAGUGCUUGGAAAUGAAAAUAUAUUCCACACCAUCGCUUUCCUGGCUUCUUUUUGCUCUGGUCGUGUCUGCGAUUUAAUUAAAAAGAGUUUACAAAAGUCUACAUCAGCUACCCUAAAGAAGAUACUAAAAAAGAAAUCAUCAUGUAUUAAAGUAUUUUUCAUAAACCUAAUUUAAACACUUAUUAAAAAGCAAAUUAGCUAAUAAAAUAAAAAUUCAAUAAUUCAGAUUUCUUACCAAUAUGAAUACAAUAUUGAUUUGAAUGUGGAUUCAAAAUUAAAUUGCAUUGUCUGUGCUAUUUUUUAUUUCGA